CUGAAUUAUCAUUCGACAUACCCGUAAGUACUCUCUAUCGCGCCGCAAUUAUACUUGUUUGCUUUUGUAUGCUUUGAGUUUGUAAUUAAACUCUCUGACCUUGAUUUUAACUGUGAGAAGAAGUCUGCUGUCUUUUAAAUCUCACCUUGUAAACCCAAAGGUCAUCCCUCUGUUUUUUGUUUUUUUUCUUUUGAACGCUGUCUGUAUGUUUCUUUGUAUGUAUGCAUGUGUUUCUGUGUGAGAGUGCCGGGGUCUAAUGAGGCUGUGUUUGUUUCGAUCAAGAGGGAGGGGUGCAUAAACACGAACAGGAACAGCAGCAUUUGAGUCAUAUACAAUGAGGGAUGAAACUGUGCCACAUGGAGCAUGAUGUACCCUCCGGGACUCUUUCACACACAUAUACUGCAGGCAGAAAAACACAUAGACCGUGCAUUUUGAUUUAAAACACUACACAAACCCAAGAGCGACCAUUUUUUUUAAAGGGGAAUAAUGUCUGAAUAUGUACUUGUGUUUAAAAAAUGAAAACCAGAGAAGCUGAUGGUACCUGUUUUUGUCUCCAAACAACACAAAAUGCACCUGGAGAGUUGAGGGAAGUGACCAUGUUGACCAUAUUCACUCUCACUUCUGCUUUGGCUCGUCCUCCGUAUCCCUCUCUCUCUCUCUCUCUUUCUGUCUCUCUUUCUCUCUCUUUCUGUCUCGUGUUUGAGAACACACACCUGCAGCCAGCCUGUAACCACGCGCCACACUUCAGUAAUCUGCUGACUCUCUGAUUUACAGCUUUAUGUCUGGUGAGUAGCCAAAGAACUCUGGCAGCCUGUAACUUGACACCUUACACCAUUUAUGAGACCCGCUCGCCUACACCGUAUACCAUACGAAAAAGAAAGAGCAACAAACACACGAAUCUUGGCUGAGUUUUCUGACUGCAGACUCUGUGAAUGUACGACUUAUAUGACUGCUAUAUAAAAACAAAACGGAGUUGUCAUAGAUGUGUCACAGUUACGGGAGCGCUUUUUUGAAACUGAAUUAAGGUUUUUUAGAUGAUUUUGUUUAACUAAUUUUUUCAAUCGGUAGAAGAGAUGGCAGGUAUGUAGUAAGAGGGGAAUGAAAUUUAAGAUAACCAGGCGUUCGUACCACACCUUGAUGAACUUAAGCAAAGCAAAACAGUAGCACAGUUUAAUAGUAAAUUAAAGCAGAAUAUGAUUGAAAAAUACUUACAAAAGUGAUUUUUGUUUUGCCACACUUAUAUUGUAUCUGGGUAUGGUACAAAUGAGAGAUUUGAAGUAUUCUAGGUCUAUAUAGUAAGUGCAUAUUUGUGUUUAUAUAAGUGUAUAUAGGUAUGGAUGUAUACAUUUAUAUAUACAGUAUAAGGUCUUUGUUUCAGUAUUAAUGAUUAGUUACAUAUUCAUGUUGGACUUUGGAGCUUUGGUUACUUUUUGGCAACAUCAGAAAUGAUACAUUUUAGACACAUUUAAAGGGUAAAUGAAUUGGAAGGAAUGAGGUUUAGGUACAUAUAAGCUAAAAAGCUCCAACUUACUCCUUUUCGAUCUCCAAAAAAUAGGGAACUUCUUGUCUAAAAUUGUACUGUAUGAAUAUUUGAUCAAGUAAACAAUCUUGAGUCUUACACUUAAAGGCAAUUUUGACGAAAAGCAAAUACAACAUGCUAGCUUACAAUGUGACUCAAGCGUUGCACAUACUCAAAUACCUUCCAUAGGUCUAUGAGCAAAAUGGAAAAAUAGAUCAAUGAGUUAUUUAAAGUCUUAUUAAAAGUCUUUUUUAUUUUUGUUGGUGAAAACAAGGAGCAUUCAUUUAAUAUAAUCAAAAAAGGACCUGGGAUACGUUAACGUGUUUAUACAUAUUUCUUUCGCCCCAAACAUAACGCCCACCCUGAGAGCACAAAGUGUAACUUGGACUCUUUCCCCCCUCAUGAUUUCACCACUAAUCUAACGCUGUCAUUAACACUGUCAAAGAGCAGCUCUUUAAACCAACCUUACUUUGCUUUUCCUCCACGGUGUACUCGGCCGUGUGGACGGAGUUGUCAUCAGUUUAAGUCCUCGCCCUUGUUUCGACACAUCUCCAGGGGAUCACCGCGUCUUAGGCAGACAUUUACAUUUUACUCUUUUUACACAGGUUCUCUUUUUUUUUUUCCUCUUUAAACUCGAUUCUUGGCAGGUUGACCUGUCGAGAGGAAGCCCACGGUGCCUCACAGCCAGUUGAGCUGCGUUCAAAAGCUGUUAGAAGUGUGUUCAACAAAAACGUCUCUGGGGAGCUUGGAAUACCCGAGAGAGCUGCUUUUUUUCUAUGGCGAAUUUAAAAAUAUAGGACAUAAUGUUUGGAAAAUAAAGUUAAGAAUGCAAAGAUAAAAUGCAAAUAAAAUCAUGACUUGGUUAUGGUCAGAGUCGCAAUUAUGACCUGAUAAAUUAGCUUAAUUAUGUCCUUUCUCUGAGCUAGUGGCAUAUGUGUAACUAGAUCAGAUGCUUUCCAUGAACUAAAAGUGCAAUUAAAAGUGAUAAAACACAUUAUUUAUUUAUUUAUCUCAAUUUGUGACACUGUCCUGAAGCAGACACUGAUGUUAGUGCACACUUUCUCUGGACUGGAGAAAUAAAAAUCAGUCAUGGUUUAGGAAAAGAGGGAGUAUCUCUAUCGACUUGUCCUCAAAAGCAAAGAUAAUUGCACGGAGACAACCAUGUGAGUGUAAUCCUAAACCAGAGAAAGUAAGUACAGUGUCGUAUAUCAGCAUGAAUGUGCAGGCAGUCGUAUAAACAGACAGGAAAAACACAUACAUGUGCAAACACACGCUAAAUUGAUCCAGGUCUAAAAUAAAAAUGUAUGUUAUUUGUUUGUUUGUGUUAGAGACAAGAAAGUAAAGGGAAGAGAGAGAAGCAGACAAAGAGAGAGCUCCAUGGCCUCCCAUCUCCAGGAGAGAGAGAGAGAGAGAUACUACUGAGAAAGCAGAGAGAGGACGUGGGAGGCGAGCAGCGGGGUGAGGGGAGCCCAUCUAAACUCAUUUUGAAAAUCGGAACUUCUUUUCUAAAGUCAGCAUUUCAAAUCAGAGCGUGUCCCCUCUCAUUUAAUGCAUCAUUUUGCGAAGUGAUAAAUUUAUGAAUUAGACAUACAUCCUUUUUGCUUUUAAGAUACUGGGCCUCAUAAGGGAGGGAGCAGUGUGGAGGAUUUAAGAGCGUUUCGCCGUGUCAAACAUUCAAACCCACAGGGAGAGCAUCAGCACAAUUAGACCGGGGUGAAGGGAAGAGAGAGAGAAAAAAAAUCCACAGACAAAAUCAGGAUCUUAAGAGCAGCGGCGUUAUUCGUCUGUACAGUAACGUGGUUAUCUGUCGCGGGUGAUCCUUUUAAACGCUUCGUUUGCAGGGAUAAAAGCAGAGCGGAGGAAAUAAACUUAGUUCUGCCUCCAAUCUGCAAAUCCUUGGUGGUCAUGGAAGAUGAUCCCAAUUUGCUUCUGAGCAGCACUGUCAGAUCUCACAAUAAUAAAUAAUUUAAGACUUUAAGCGGCAAUUAUGCUCGAUAAAUGUGGAAAGCCUGUAGACCACUGCUUGCUGUAGCCAGACGAUGCUGAGGGUUCCUGUAAAAAUACACCACUUCCUACUUAUGUCAUAGCCCAUUAAUCAAGCCGAGAGGUUAAUGAGAAGUAUUUGUUUAAUAUCAGGUUAAUUCACAUGACGUUCUGAAGGCAAGAAUGUUUAUACAAAGUCACAGUUCAGACGUGUGGAGAAUCAAAAUCCAGUGAAAAUUGUUCAAACCAAAAUCGUACUUUUAAUAAGUUAUCUUAAUUUUUUAUCAAGAAACACAAUAUUGACCUCUAGGUUUGGUCUCAAUGACCCCAGCUAUAAAAUAUGAUUAAUCGCAUUUGCUGGAUUUGAGUGGAAAACUCUGUAUUUGACGCAGUGCAACUACUGAAACUCUUUUUUGUCUGUUUAUGCCAUUUUGGAAAAACAGAAGGACUACAUUUUAUGAUUUUUUAAUAAAACAGCAAAGAGCAUCAAACAUUUUCCUGUUUGGAUCUAUUUCUCUUCUUUAUGUUAUCAUCAACGAAGAGGUUUAUGAUGAAUGCCUCGAAUUCGGAUCUGUUUAUUAUAUUGACAGGAGCUGGGACCAAAUUUAAGGCUGCAGCAAAUAUCACCUUCUUUGUUAUGUGUGAAUUGUUUCCUCUAUUGAUUGUUAAGUGUAAAAGACAAAGCUAAGUGAAAAAAAAUGGCGGCUUUUCCCUGUUACUCAAAUAUAAUUUAAAGAUACAAAGUUAGGGUGACCAUAUUCUGAUUCCCCAAAAAAGGAAUCGACUACACAAGGGCGGAGUCACGCAGUCGCACGUAGUUAAUUUUGAGAGUUUUUUUGGUCCGAUCGAGUGUCUUUUACACGCUUGUAAGUCCACGCGACACAAACUCGAAAACUUCCUGGACAUUUGAAGGAUGUUAUAACCUUCCCUGGACAAAGCGGGGCAAGACUGGACAGCUAAAAAAGAGGACAUGUCCGGGUAAAAGAAAACGUAUGGUCACCUUAUACAAGUGCACUUUGAACAAAAAGUUUCAGAGCACAUCCUCAGGAUGAAAAGUAUGAAAUGUUGGUGCUUUGGUCUACUGUCAAAUAAUCCCAAUAAUUUCUAACCUCGAAGGACAAAGAAGGAAAGCCAGUGAAGACCAAGCACAGAAGCAGCUGAAUUGGAAAGAUUCAGAUCAAUAAUCGUGUUAAGGAGGGGGGUUAUUGUGACUGACUGAGACAUGGUCUCGGUAAGUCUGGCAGUUACAAGAGCACACCAGAUCAGCAUUAAAAACCAACUCUGUUUUCGUUCAAAGACUCCUCGAGACUUAUAACUUGCGCUCGUCGCUCUCCCAGUCUGGAUUGCACUCAAACAGCAAAGUAAACAACAAGCACAGACAAUCCCAGCCAAGGCGUACUCGGAGAAAGGCCUGUCUGUGUUUGGGUUUGAUUUCUCUCUUGUUGGUGCGGUUUGUUCUCUCAGGAGCCGUCUGCCUCUUUUGUAUCCCCAUGUUUGCCGUAUGAUUCGACCAAGAAUAUGCCAAAUCAUCAAGUCUCCCCCAGCCUCCCCGGCUGCUCAGGUGAGACACUAAACCUAGAACAAUAAUUACACAAUUUAUCAAUCAAGGAUAGGAAAUUACUCUCCAUUGCUUUACAUGUUUAUUCUUUUUCACAUUGUAAUGUCAUUCAAUCAAUCUUUUUCGAAAUGUAGAUCUGAAAUAAACCUCCCCCCAAAUCAUCAUUAGUUCCUUUUCUUGGAGAGAAAUAGUGCCAACGCAGCAUUCACAUUUAUUACUGACUGGGAGCCUUUUAAUUCCAGGAUGUGAGUUGUGAGGUCUGUUAAACAGCGUGCUCAUUUUCAUUUUUAGGCUGGUGAAAUCUGCGGAGAGAAACAAAGCCAGAGAGCAGCAGAAAAUGAGACUUUGGCACGGGGUUGAGUGUUUACCCAGAAGAGUCACCGUGUCCGUUUGGGUUUAGAUAUUUUAGUGGCCACUGGAAUCCAGUUUGUGAAUACCUGCAUUGAGCCACCGAGGCUGAG
rnacentral:lncRNA from 1 species